UACGGGAGGCAGCAGUGGGGAAUCUUGCGCAAUGGGCGAAAGCCUGACGCAGCCAUGCCGCGUGAAUGAUGAAGGUCUUAGGAUUGUAAAUUCUUUCACCGGGGACGAUAAUGACGGUACCCGGAGAAGAAGCCCCGGCUAACUUCGUGCCAGCAGCCGCGGUAAUACGAAGGGGCUAGCGUUGCUCGGAAUUACUGGGCGUAAAGGGCGCGUAGGCGGAUCGUUAAGUCAGAGGUGAAAUCCCAGGGCUCAACCCUGGAACUGCCUUUUGAUACUGGCGAUCUUUGAGUAUGAGAGAGGUAUGUGGAACUCCGAGUGUAGAGGUGAAAUUCGUAGAUAUUCGGAAGAACACCAGUGGCGAAGGCGACAUACUGGCUCAUUACUGACGCUGAGGGCGCGAAAGCGUGGGGAGCAAACAGGGAUUAGAUACC
rnacentral:rRNA from 1 species